CCUACGGGGGGCAGCAGUGGGGAAUAUUGGACAAUGGGGGGAACCCUGAUCCAGCCAUGCCGCGUGUGUGAAGAAGGCCCUCGGGUUGUAAAGCACUUUCAGUGAGGAAGAACGCCUGGUGGUUAAUACCCAUCAGGAAAGACAUCACUCACAGAAGAAGCACCGGCUAACUCCGUGCCAGCAGCCGCGGUAAUACGGAGGGUGCGAGCGUUAAUCGGAAUUACUGGGCGUAAAGCGCGCGUAGGUGGCUUGAUAAGCCGGUUGUGAAAGCCCCGGGCUCAACCUGGGAACGGCAUCCGGAACUGUCAAGCUAGAGUGCAGGAGAGGAAGGUAGAAUUCCCGGUGUAGCGGUGAAAUGCGUAGAGAUCGGGAGGAAUACCAGUGGCGAAGGCGGCCUUCUGGACUGACACUGACACUGAGGUGCGAAAGCGUGGGUAGCAAACAGGAUUAGAUACACCGGUAGUC
rnacentral:rRNA from 1 species